CGGCGGCGGCGGAGAACGGGGGGUCCCGGGUGCAACGCCGGGCGGUGCAAAUACACAUCCCACCCACCCCCCCCUACCACCACCACCACUACUACCACCACCCACCCCCCCAUCCCUCUCCGAAAGAGAGAGAAAAGGAAGAGAUCUGAACCAAAAAAAAAAAAAUAAUACGCCUUUUAAAUUUUUUAUUUAUUUUUAUAUUUAAUUUUUUGGGGGGGGUCACUUUCGCGUUUAAAAAGCAACCCUCCCCCCUAAAAAAAAAAAAACAACCCAGCGAGCAAAGCCAGGAUCCUGCUGCAUUGCACUGGAUUUUUACUUUUUUUUUUAAAAAAAUUAUUUUUCCCUCAAUCAGCUUUUUUUUUAAUAAUUUUUGCAAACAGCCACGCUCGGCUCACGGCCUCCGACAGGAUUUACUCUCGGGGAAAGAAGCUCUUUCCGUAAAGACACCCCCCCAAUGCGCUCCCCUUCCCUUUUUCUUUUUUUUUUUUUUUUACUUUAAUUUUUUUCUUUUUUCAUUUCUUUGCCGGGAUUCUCCAGACCUAAAAAAAAAAAAAAAGAAAAAGAUUAUUUCUUUCUUCUUUUUUUUUUUUUUUUUUGAUUCGUUUUCUCUUUUCCUUUCCAGGACUCUGGAGUGGUGGGUUAUUUCUUUGUAGCUGUUGUUGUUAUUGUUGCAAAAUAAUCUGUUUACCAGGCUGUUUUCUGCCUGUCAGCAUGAACGCAGAGCCCGUCUCUCUCCCCCUCCUUCCUCCCCGAUGGAGGUUGGGGACGCUGAAGGCAGAGCACUUGGAGGGGACCCGUGAUCUCAAACAGCCACUGAAAUCCUUAAUAAGCAAGUGCAUAUGGUUUAACUUCCAAGAAAACAAAGCAGCCAAGCACGCAUCCCAUCCGGUUCUUGUUAAUUUAAAUAGACGACACUUCUUUUUAUUGAUAAAGAAACUCCCCCGGAACAGCCCCCCGGAUCCCAGAAGGCUCCCCCUGCCGUGGCCGUCCUCAUUACAAAACAAGGCCGCAAUUAAAAUAAACUCCAAGAGCUAAACAAA